UACAGAGGGUGCAAGCGUUGUUCGGAAUUAUUGGGCGUAAAGGGAGUGUAGGCGGUCUUUUAAGUCUUCUGUGAAAUCUACGGGCUUAGCCUGUAACGUGCAGAGGAAACUGGAAGGCUUGAGUGUCGGAGAGGAUAGGGGAAUUCCCGGUGUAGAGGUGAAAUUCGUAGAGAUCGGGAGGAACACCGAUGGCGAAGGCAGGUCUCUGGGCAUUAACUGACGCUGAGGAGCGAAAGCAUGGGGAGCGAACAGG
rnacentral:rRNA from 1 species